rnacentral:tRNA from 1 species
GGGCGCUUGGCACAGGGGUAGCGCGCACGCUUCGCAUGUUUGACUGCGUGAGGUCGUGGGUUCAAAUCCCACAGUGUCCA